UACGUAGGGGGCAAGCGUUGUCCGGAUUUAUUGGGCGUAAAGAGCGUGUAGGCGGCCAUACAGGUCCGUUGUGAAAACUGGAGGCUUAACCUCCAGACGUCGAUGGAAACCGUAUGGCUAGAGUCCGGAAGAGGAGAGUGGAACUCCUGGUGUAGCGGUGGAAUGCGCAGAUAUCAGGAAGAACACCAACGGCGAAGGCAGCUCGCUGGGACGGUACUGACGCUGAGACGCGAAAGCGUGGGGAGCGAACAGG
rnacentral:rRNA from 1 species